UUUGUACUGCAGUGAAAUGCUCGGACUUCUGUGGUGACCACUCAUGCACUGCAGACUUUUGAGCAUGUGCUAUGGGUUCUA
rnacentral:pre_miRNA from 13 species